rnacentral:rRNA from 1 species
ACGGAAGGCAGCAGCUAAGAAUAUUCCGCAAUGGACGAAAGUCUGACGGAGCGACGCCGCGUGGAUGAUGAAGGCCGGAAGGUUGUAAAAUCCUUUUGGACGUGAGGAAUAAGCGGUGCAGGGAAUGGCGCCGUGGUGACUGUAGCGUCUGAAUAAGCAACGGCUAAUUACGUGCCAGCAGCCGCGGUAACACGUAAGUUGCGAGCGUUGUUCGGAAUUAUUGGGCGUAAAGGGCAUGCAGGCGGCUUUGAAAGCCUGAUGUGAAAUGCCCGGGCUCAACCCCGGAAUUGCAUUGGGAACUUCAAGGCUAGAGUUACUGAGGGGCAGCCGGAAUUCCAGGUGUAGGGGUGAAAUCUGUAGAUAUCUGGAAGAACACCAAUGGCGAAGGCAGGCUGCCAGCAGAUAACUGACGCUGAGGUGCGAAGGUGCGGGGAGCGACCAGGAUUAGAUACCCUGGUA